GAAGGACACAAGGAUCUGUACAAGGAGGCCAUGAUGGAGGAGCACCAGCCUCUUAUAUCACAAGAUGGAUCCAGGAGGAGAAAUCCACCAGACAGAUGUCCCCGUCCUCUGUAUUCCCAGGACUGUCCAGAUGAGAGGGUCCCAGAGAAUCCUCAGAUGACAAAUCAGGGGGAAGAUCUGACUGAUAUUAAAGUGGAGGAUGAAGAAGAGUG